UAGCUCAGCGGCAUAAGCACCUGCCUUGCAAGCAGGCAGUCGUGAGUUCGAUCCUCGC
rnacentral:tRNA from 1 species